CAGUCGCCGCGGGAAUACGUAGGUGGCAAGCGUUAUCCGGAAUUAUUGGGCGUAAAGCGCGCGUAGGCGGUUUUUUAAGUCUGAUGUGAAAGCCCACGGCUCAACCGUGGAGGGUCAUUGGAAACUGGAAAACUUGAGUGCAGAAGAGGAAAGUGGAAUUCCAUGUGUAGCGGUGAAAUGCGUAGAGAUGUGGAGGAUCACCAGUGGCGAAGGCGACUCUCUGGUCUGUAACUGACGCUGAGGAGCGAAAGCGUGGGGAGCGAACAGGAUUAGAUACCCCCGUAGUCCCUGUCUCUUAUAA
rnacentral:rRNA from 1 species